AAUAAGCGGAGGAAAAGAAACCAACCGGGAUUGCCUCAGUAACGGCGAGUGAAGCGGCAAGAGCUCAAAUUUGAAAGCUGGCCCCUCCGGGGUCCGCAUUGUAAUUUGCAGAGGAUGCUUCGGGCUCAGCCCCCGUCUAAGUGCCCUGGAACGGGCCGUCGGAGAGGGUGAGAAUCCCGUCUGGGACGGGGUGCCUGGGUCCAUGUGAAGCUCCUUCGACGAGUCGAGUUGUUUGGGAAUGCAGCUCUAAAUGGGUGGUAAAUUUCAUCUAAAGCUAAAUACUGGCCGGAGACCGAUAGCGCACAAGUAGAGUGAUCGAAAGAUGAAAAGCACUUUGAAAAGAGAGUUAAACAGCACGUGAAAUUGUUGAAAGGGAAGCGCUUGCGAUCAGACUCGCCUGCGGGGUUCAGCCGGCAUUCGUGCCGGUGUACUUCCCCGUGGGCGGGCCAGCGUCGGUUCGGGUGGCCGGUCAAAGGCCCCGGGAAUGUGUCGCCCUCCGGGGCGUCUUAUAGCCCGGGGUGCCAUGCGGCCUACCUGGACCGAGGAACGCGCUUCGGCUCGGACGCUGGCGUAAUGGUCGUAAGCGACCCGUCUUGAAACACGGACCAAGGAGUCUAACAUCUACGCGAGUGUUUGGGUGGCAAACCCAUACGCGCAGUGAAAGCGAACGGAGGUGGGAACCCUUCGGGGCGCACCAUCGACCGAUCCUGAUGUCUUCGGAUGGAUUUGAGUAAGAGCGUAGCUGUGGGGACCCGAAAGAUGGUGAACUAUGCCUGAAUAGGGCGAAGCCAGAGGAAACUCUGGUGGAGGCUCGCAGCGGUUCUGACGUGCAAAUCGAUCGUCAAAUUUGGGUAUAGGGGCGAAAGACUAAUCGAAC
rnacentral:misc_RNA from 1 species